rnacentral:miRNA from 18 species
CCUGGCACAUAGGAGCUUCAUAAA